GUCGGACAACAGUUCGGCAGUUUUGUAACAAGUUAAACAUACACUUACAAUAUGACCCAGGAAUUCCACUCCCAGGUUUCUACCCAAGAGAAAUGAAAAUUUAUCUUUUCAUACGAAAACAGAGACUUGUACGUGAAUGUCCAUAGCAGCAUUAUUGGUAAUAACUCAAAACAGGAAACAGUGCAAAUGUCCAUCAAAUGGUGAAUGGAUAAACAAAAUGUGGCUUAUUUGUGGAAUUAAAUUAUAAUAUUCAGCCAAGAGAAGUGAACUGUUGAUAAAUGCUACCACAUGGAUGAACCUCGAAAACAUUACAGUAAGCGAAAAAAGCCAGAUGCCCAAGACCACAAAUCGUGUGAUUCCAUUUACAUGAAAUGUCCAGAAAAGACAAAUUUAUUUAUAGAGACAGAAAGCAGAUAGGUGGCUGCCUGGGACUGGAGUGGGAGAAAUGACUAGCUGCUAAUAGGUUCAAGGUCAGCUGGAGGUCGGAUGAUCUAGGAUGACCUCACUCCCACGUCUGGAGGGGGGCAAGUUGUCAGUCAGGUGAGUUCUCCUCCACGUGGCCUUUCACCCUUCAGCAGGCUAGCCUGGGCUUACUGACAUGGUGGUCUCAGGAUUCCAGGCACAGAAGAGGGUAAGCUAUAAAGCACAAGGGCUAUUCAAGUCUCUGCUUGAAUUGUAUUUGCUGUCCCGUUGGCCAAAGCAAAUCACACGGCCGGAUCCAGAUUCAAAGCCUCUGCAGUCAUGUUGCAAAGUGAUGGGCAGAAUUAGUGGCCGUUUUUCGCAAUCUACCAAAGGGAAGAAGAGAGUUAAACAACUCCUCUAUGGUUAUAUGGUUAUAUGUGUGGUUAUACACAUACAUAACCAGUAUCUUGCAGAGCUAGGAUUCUGGUGCUCACACUUUUACUCACCAUGCCAUAUGCUGAGUGGUGUUUUCAAGGAGUGGUGUUUCAAUGUAGUGUGUGGGAUGGAGAGGGAUUGGAUAAGCAGCCAACAAGGAAUUCAGACUAUUCUAAAGACACUAGAAAUCCACAGGAAGAUUUAAACUGAUUGUCAUUUUAGAAAGCUCACUCUGUCUAUAGUAUGGAGGCUGGACAAUAGGGGGAGGGGUUGAUGGCAGAGUGACCAAUGAGGACUUCAUUGCGUUAGAUUUGGUUAGAGAUGAAAGGAGGUUGAAGUGGCAGUGGGGAUGAAGAGAAGAGGACAGAGUCGAAGGAUGUUUCAGAGCUAAAAUGGGACUUUGCUGAGCACUGAUGGGAAGGAUGGGGAAGAUGUGGGGUAAGUGAAGUUUCCCCAGCGGGUCUAGAGGGAAGAUGAUGAGUUACUGUGCGGCCAUGUUGGCUCUGAGGUCCUUAUGGAACAUAGGAAGGUAAAUGUCCCUUUGCCAACAGCAUCUUCAGGUGCAAGGUCUAAGCUAGCAAUCUAGAUUUGGGAAUUAUUGGCAUGGAGGGUAUGGUUGAAGCCACAGUCCUAGAUACGAUUGGUCGUGAGGGUGGGAAGAGAGCAGGCUUCAUAGAGCACCCUGAGGACCACAAGCCUUUAAGAGAUGGGCCAAAGGAAAGAGUCAGGUGAGAAGUCAGAGGAACUCAGUCUUGGGAUAAAGAACUCCAGGGAGUGGUCAGCAAGGUCAAACUCAGCAGAAAGGUUAAAGAAGAUCUGAACUGAAGAAAGGCUGUUUAGUUUAGCAAUCCAGUGAUCAGAGACAUUUGCAGACCCUGCAGUGUGGGUGGCGAUGGAGGGUGGAGAUGUAACAUGGAUGGCUGAGGUGUGAAUGGGAGGCGAUGAGAUAGAAUAUUCUUUCAGGAAGUAAGAAUGUGUUUCAGACUUGGAAACAGAGAGUAUGCCCUCCAGUCCCGGUUCUGAUACCAUCUAUAAAAUAUUUGGAAAAUCAUUUAAUCUCAUAGGUCUUGGUUUCUCCUCUGUAAAAUGGGUUUAAAAAUAUACAGCUAACCGGAUUGUAAUAACAAUAAAAUUAAAUAAUUCAGUGUUUCCCUAAUUGUUGCGCUGCACACCCCUGGGGAUAAAUGAGAUGAUUUUAGGCGGCACUUGAACAAUAUUUUUAAAAAUGGCUCUGUAUUUAUUUUCUCUAUUUUAG
rnacentral:lncRNA from 1 species